CCUACGGUGGGCAGCAGUGGGGAAUAUUGCACAAUGGGGGAAACCCUGAUGCAGCAACGCCGCGUGAGUGAUGACGGCCUUCGGGUUGUAAAGCUCUGUCUUCAGGGACGAUAAUGACGGUACCUGAGGAGGAAGCCACGGCUAACUACGUGCCAGCAGCCGCGGUAAUACGUAGGUGGCGAGCGUUGUCCGGAUUUACUGGGCGUAAAGGGAGCGUAGGCGGACUUUUAAGUGAGAUGUGAAAUACUCGGGCUCAACUUGAGUGCUGCAUUUCAAACUGGAAGUCUAGAGUGCAGGAGAGGUAAUCGGAAUUCCUUGUGUAGCGGUGAAAUGCGUAGAUAUAAGGAAGAACACCAGUGGCGAAGGCGGAUUACUGGACGAUAACUGACGGUGAGGCGCGAAAGCGUGGGGAGCAAACAGGAUUAGAUACCCUUGUAGUC
rnacentral:rRNA from 1 species